rnacentral:sRNA from 1 species
AAUUAGCCCAGAUUAAAAUGAAAAGCCUUUUGCAAAAAAAACUAUAUUUUUUGCAGAGACAGAGCGACCAACGGAAGCUCCUGUAACUGCGUUAAAAAUAUGUUUUUUGAGUAAAAGCUUGUAAUGGAAAGCUGGAUUAAGC